GGGCGAGUGGCGGAAUGGCAGACGCUGGGGCCUUAAAAGCCCCUCUGGUGAAAACCGGGUGUGGGUUCGAGUCCCACCUUGCCCA
rnacentral:tRNA from 1 species